GUGUGUGUGCAGGAUCCUGGGCUGUGUACCCCGGCGCCCUGGGCUCCGGGGCCUGCACCGCUGGAAUCGCGCUCCAGGGGCUGCGCAGCCCCCU
rnacentral:pre_miRNA from 1 species